rnacentral:rRNA from 1 species
GAUGAGCGCUGGCGGCGUGCCUAAUACAUGCAAGUCGAGCGAACAGACGAGGAGCUUGCUCCUUCGACGUUAGCGGCGGACGCGUGAGUAACACGUAGUUAACCUACCUAUAAGACUGGGAUAACUUCGGGAAACCGGAGCUAAUACCGGAUAAUAUUUCGAACCGCAUGGUUCGAUAGUGAAAGAUGGCUUUGCUCUCACUUAUAGAUGGACCUGCUCCGUAUUAGCUAGUUGGUAAGGUAACGGCUUACCAAGGCAACGAUACGUAGCCGACCUGAUAGGGUGACCGGCCACACUGGAACUGAGACACGGUCCAGACUCCUACGGGAGGCAGCAGUAGGGAAUAUUCGGCGAUGGGCGAAAGCCUGACGGAGCAACGCCGCGUGAGUGAUGAAGGUCUUCGGAUCGUAAAACUCUGUUAUUAGGGAAGAACAAAAGUGUAAGUAACUGUGCACGUCUUGACGGUACCUAAACAGAAAGCCACGGCUAACUACGUG